UGGGGAAUAUUGGACAAUGGGCGCAAGCCUGAUCCAGCCAUGCCGCGUGAGUGAUGAAGGCCUUAGGGUUGUAAAGCUCUUUUAGCAGGGAAGAUAAUGACGGUACCUGCAGAAAAAGCCCCGGCUAACUUCGUGCCAGCAGCCGCGGUAAUACGAAGGGGGCUAGCGUUGCUCGGAAUUACUGGGCGUAAAGCGCACGUAGGCGGACUCUUAAGUCGGUGGUGAAAUCCUGGAGCUCAACUCCAGAACUGCCUUCGAUACUGGGAGUCUUGAGUUCGGGAGAGGUGAGUGGAACUGCGAGUGUAGAGGUGAAAUUCGUAGAUAUUCGCAAGAACACCAGUGGCGAAGGCGGCUCACUGGCCCGAUACUGACGCUGAGGCGCGAAAGCGUGGGGAGCAA
rnacentral:rRNA from 1 species